UACAGAGGUCCCGAGCGUUGUUCGGAUUCAUUGGGCGUAAAGGGUGCGUAGGCGGCGGGGUAAGUUUGAUGUGAAAUCCCGGGGCUCAACCCUGGAAUUGCAUUUGAAUACUACCUUGCUAGAGUACCGGAGAGGAAACUGGAAUUUACGGUGUAGCAGUGAAAUGCGUAGAGAUCGUAAGGAAGACCAGUGGCGAAGGCGAUCAUCUGGGGUUGUUCUGACACUGAGGAGCGAAAGGCUAAGGGGAGCAAACGGG
rnacentral:rRNA from 1 species